UACGAAGGGGGCUAGCGUUGCUCGGAAUUACUGGGCGUAAAGGGCGCGUAGGCGGUUGGCACAGUCAGAUGUGAAAUUCCCGGGCUUAACCUGGGAGCUGCAUUUGAUACGUGUUGUCUUGAGUUCGGAAGAGGGUCGUGGAAUUCCCAGUGUAGAGGUGAAAUUCGUAGAUAUUGGGAAGAACACCGGUGGCGAAGGCGGCGACCUGGUCCGACACUGACGCUGAGGCGCGAAAGCGUGGGGAGCAAACAGG
rnacentral:rRNA from 1 species